rnacentral:misc_RNA from 1 species
GGAAGGAUCAUUAAAAAUCGCCCGAGCCGCAAGGCUCUAUUAUUUUGUGAAACGUUUGUGGAAGUUUGUGGUGCGCCGAGGUUCGUCCGCUGGUGCAUUGCAGGCUUCCCCAAUUAGUAUUAAACACAUGUCUUUGACGUUGAGGAAAUAUUAUUCUGUAAUAUAUAUACAACUUUCAACAGUGGAUCUCUCGGCUCUUGCAACGAUGAAGAACGCAGCGAAAUGCGAUAGGUAAUGUGAAACGCAUCACUCGUGAAUCAUCAAAUCUUUGAACGCAUAUUGCACCCUCUGGUACUCCGGAGGGUAUGCCUGUUUGAGAAUUGGAAUCCCAUCAACAACCUAGUUGUUGGAAAUGAGCGUUCGUGUCUACACGUCGCUUGAAAUAUAGGCGCAACAGCACUAUCAAAAACACUACGCUGUUGGACACUCUCUAAUGCUUCGGCUUGAAAGAGUCUUUGGGUAGGGUUAUGUGCUGACUGUGACAAAUAAACAUGCUUGCAUGUUAACGGGCAUGUUUGGCGGCUGGCGUUGUUGUGCAUCGUCACUCUCAUCACCAGGCGUCGGCAUGCAAGAGAAGGUUCUGGGCGCGUAUUUAUCUAUUAUGGAUGAUGUACGGGACCCUGCACCGACUCCAAACUCAAUCUCAAAUCAGGUAGGACUACCCGCUGAACUUAAGCAUAUUAAUAAGCGGAGGAAAAGAAACUAACAAGGAUUCCCCUAGUAACGGCGAGUGAAGAGGGAAGAGCUCAAAUUUGUAAUCUGGCAGGCCACGCCUGUCCGAGUUGUAAUUUGAAGAAGCGUUUUCUGCGCUGUCAAUGGCACAAGUCCCUUGGAAAAGGGCCGCAGAGAGGGUGAAACGCCCGUCUUUGCCAACGACAGUCGCUCUACGAUGCGCUUUCUAAGAGUCGGGUUGUUUGGGAAUGCAGCCCAAAGACGGUGGUAAAUUCCAUCUAAAGCUAAAUAUAAGCAAGAGUCCGAUAGCAAACAAGUACCGUGAGGGAAAGAUGAAAAGGACUUUGAAAAGAGAGUUAAAUAGUACGUGAAACUGUUGAAAGGGAAACGCUUGAAACCAGAGGGAUGCGCUGUGAAAUCAGUCGUGCAAUUUGCGCGGUGCUCUUUCGCAGCGCUCAGCCAACAUCGGUUCGAGCAGCCGGAGAUUGGCCAGUGGAAGGUAGCUUGUCUUUCGGGGCAAGUGUUAUAGCCACGGCUGGUGCGGCUAAUUGGACCGAGGCAAUGCGGCGUGAGCUUGCUGCCGGCCUGGCGUCAUUGUAGCGAAGGCUGUGCAGGCAGUUUCUGACUGUGCAGCAGUAGCGGCGAUGCGUCGGGUGCAGGACAUUCACGCCAAGGUUGUUGGCGAGUUGGUUUUAAACGACCCGUCUUGAAACACGGACCAAGGAGUCCAACAUAGAUGCGAGUAUUUGGGUGGCAAACCCGGAUGCGCAAUGAAGUGACAAGUGGGAGCUGGCUUUGCCGGUGCACCAUAGGCCGAUCCAGAAGUCUCUGAUGGACGGAUUUGAGCCAGAGCAUCUCUGCUGGGACCCGAAAGAUGGUGAACUAUGCCUGAGUAGGGUGAAGCCAGAGGAAACUCUGGUGGAGGCUCGUAGCGAUUCUGACGUGCAAAUCGAUCGUAGAACUUGGGUAUAGGGGCGAAAGACUAAUCGAACCAUCUAGUAGCUGGUUCCCUC